UUUAAAUUUAGAGUUUGAUCCUGGCUCAGGACGAACGCUGGCGGCGUGCUUAACACAUGCAAGUCGAGCGAUGAAACUUCCUUCGGGAAGUGGAUUAGCGGCGGACGGGUGAGUAACACGUGGGUAACCUGCCUCAAAGUGGGGGAUAGCCUUCCGAAAGGAAGAUUAAUACCGCAUAAUAUAAGAGAAUCGCAUGAUUUUUUUAUCAAAGAUUUAUUGCUUUGAGAUGGACCCGCGGCGCAUUAGCUAGUUGGUAAGGUAACGGCUUACCAAGGCAACGAUGCGUAGCCGACCUGAGAGGGUGAUCGGCCACAUUGGAACUGAGACACGGUCCAGACUCCUACG
rnacentral:rRNA from 1 species